rnacentral:rRNA from 1 species
UACGGGGGGGGCAAGCGUUGUUCGGAAUUACUGGGCGUAAAGGGCUCGUAGGCGGCCAACUAAGUCAGACGUGAAAUCCCCAGGCUCAACCUGGGAACUGCGUCUGAUACUGGAUGGCUUGAAUUCGGGAGAGGGAUGCAGAAUUCCAGGUGUAGCAGUGAAAUGCGUAGAUAUCUGGAGGAAUACCGGUGGCGAAGGCGGCAUCCUGGACCGACAUUGACGCUGAGGAGCGAAAGCUAGGGGAGCAAACGGG